rnacentral:lncRNA from 1 species
UCUAGUCCAACUCUAUCUAGAAUACUGAUAAUACCCACGUUGUUGGCUCUAUAUAAACAGGAGGCAUUGGUAUCAAAACUCACGGUACCAACUCUUUUUUAGCAAACUCUAGGAAAGCAAGGAUUUUCCUGCAUUUUAUUCAGAAGGUAAUCAUCACUUUUACAUUCUCCACAGUUAAGAAGCAACUCAAACAGUUCUCGUACUUUCUACCCUGAAUAAAAGCUGCUUGAACUUUAAUGAAUCAUGUGUAAUGGCUGUAUUAUUUUCAAGAAGAAUAAGUAUUUCCUUCUCCAUGUCACUUUUAAGUGAAAGUAAAAUAUCAUAUUUUAUUGUACCUUUUCUUUUAUUGAAAGAAAAAUCCACAUCGUAAAAGUAUUCUUCGACUUUUUUACUUUCGCAGCUCUUUUAGAACACAACCUUCUUGAGUUCUUAUCUCCAACAGUAAUUUGUUACAAAAACAAAAGCAAGUACGUAUUAGUUUCUCUCUUGCGGGAAACUAGCGAAGGUAUGUCCUUUAUUCAUUCACAAAUGUGUCAAAUAAAUAGAUACCCCUCUUGCUUUCAUAUAAAUAACGUUAUAUGAUUCAUGCCUGAUCUGCAGCAUUUCACACAAAAUAUUUAAAUCAAAUUGGUAUAUCUCUUCUUGCGAUAGUGAUUUUUGUCAGGUAGCUUUACUCUCUCAGUUCGCAGGGCCAUGUAGUACUCAAAAUAAAGUUACUACGCAGAAAUAUAAUGUUAGUUAUAAAUAUAUUAUAUUAUGGAUGUUCAUUUAGUACUCCGUUGUAAAUAAUCUUCCUGAAGAAGCUUAUCCAUAUGGGACUCCACCGUAAAUAUGUUUAUCUAUUUAGUACUCUAUUGGAAGUAAGCUUCCUGAAGAAGCUUAUCACUUCGGUACCCGGUUAUGGAUAAACAUUACCCUAGGUAGAAGAUUAUCCAUACCGGGUAUAAUAAGCUUAUCCAUUCAGUACUCCGUUAUCGAUAAACAUUGCUCUCAGUAAAAGAUUAUCCAUAUCUGGUAUAGUAGCAGCUUACACAGCAGCUUGCAGUAGCAACUUACACAGCAGCUUGCGUAGCAGCUUACACAGCAGCUUGUAAUAGCAGCUUACACAACAGCUUGCGUAACAGCUUAC